UGCCUUCUUUGAUAAUAACUUGAAAGGGCGACUUCAAAUAUUUUGCCCUCUUUGAAAAUAAUAGAAGGGCGUUGUUUACAUUUUGCCCUCUUUGAUCAGUUAAUUUUUUUUAAAAAUAAACUAAAUAACACUCCUAAACUUCAUACAGCAGCUCUACCCUUAACUUCAGAGGACCUCUACCCAAACUUCGCCCAAUUUCUUUUCGUAUCCCUAAAUGAAGGCACUGAAAUUUGAUUUCCCGAUCUUGAGCUUUCUCUCUCCCUAAAUCUGCAAUUUAGAAGCUCUUUCUCUCCCCUAAAUCUCUAAUUUAGUUUUCUCAAUCCCUCUCCAUCUUCAAUUUCGCUGGUCAUAAACCCUAAUUUUAUGCGUUUUCGUUCGCCUGAAAUUUGGUAGAGUUAGCCUGAAAUUCGGUUGAGUUAGCCUGAAAUUCGGUCCAAUAGCACCUAUCUGAAGUUCGUCUAGUAUGAUAGCAUGGAUAAUGAUAGGAGUUGGAUGCAUAUUCAAGGGUUGAGAAAUCGGCUACAACCAACUUACCGAAUUGGUGUUAAAAGUUUGCUUGAUUGAGCAAUCGACAUUUGAUGGUGUCCCCAAUGUGGUUUUAAGAAAAACAUAUUCUUAGAAUGGAAAAACAGAUUCUAAUAUUUCUAUCUCUAAGCAUAGAUGGACUUCAGCUAGAUGAAUGAAGUAGACUGCCAAGCUACAAGUCUUACAGUUGGAAUGACAUGCCUGAAGAAGCAAUAGAUCGAUUGUAUAGUAGGAUUAAGGCUAAGUAUGACUUCAGUGAAGCUUGUAUAGGUGUUGCACAAAUAAUACUGUGUUUCCCAAGUUUGGGUGAUUUUCAUGUACUUGUAUAGGUGUUGCACGAAUAAUACUGCAAGGGUCAAAGAUGGGAGGGGCAUGUGAUGGGGGUUUCAUGGGCUUUGUGUAUUUCCUUUAUCUUGCCCUGAACAAGGACAAAGGACCUAGAGUGGAGGACAAGCCUGGUUCUACAGAUGAAGCUAUAGAAAAUGCUAAAAAGAUCAUGGAUAAAUACAAAUAGGUUGCAAGCAUAUCAGUACCUCGUCUGUAUUCUUCUAUUACUUUAAAACGUAAAUAUGUAGUUUGUUUGAAGAAUAUGUGGAUCCCAGGAAUCAUGAAUCUGCUAUAAAUUGUCUACCUGAAGCAUGGAAACUGGGGAUUUUUUCUUGUAAUCAUUUUCCCCUUCAUUUUUCUUGAGGAAUGAAUACAACUUUUUGCAAGAAAUUUACUUGCAGAAGUUCUGUCUUUUUGUCCUGGCUAAUCUAAAAGAUUAUCAGGGAUUAUAUUGAAGCAUUGUUUUGCUUAUAACUUGUGUCAGUUUCAUUAAACAGACUCCCAGAUUCCCUUUUUUCUUGGGUGAUAUAUGAUUUAUUUUUUUAAAAAUAAAAAAUAGAACAAAGAGGGCGAAUUUAUCAAGUUGCCCUCUUUGAUUUUGAACAAACAGGACACAGAAAAUUGCCCUAUUUAAACUGUGUAAGAGGGCGAAAAACUAUCAAAGAGGGCGAGAUUUAAGUUGCCCUCCUUGUUUUCAAACAAAGAAGGCGAAAAUUAUUUGCCCUCUUUGAUUUUGAUCAAAAAGGGCGAAUAUAUAGUGUUGCCCUGGAAAGCUAAUAGGACGAGCCUAACAGGGCGAGCUAAGGGCGA